GAUAAACUAUGUCUGUGAGGAACUCGCAUGGCUGCAGUUUGUGUGUCCCCAAGAUGCAAGAACCAGGAGGAGGUUGUGCAGGUUAGCGGUGGGUGAAGGUGGGCGUCGGCGACACAAGAUGCUACCCGCCUGCCACCAUGGAUCAGACUUCCCCUUCACGCUGCAUUUCUAAUUACGGGACGAGGCGGAGAGCAGCUCAAUAGUGACGGCCGUCUGCGGGAACAAUGGAAGCCUUUUUUUUUUGGGAGACGGUGAGAAUGAGGCCUAAUUGAAGGAAACAUCAUCCAUCAUUCGCCCACUGGAGCUUUGACGCUUCCACUGUUGAAGCGUCAAAGAAGGACAGGCGGUUUUAUCCUGAGGGUCUAAGAAGCUGCAUCAACAUCGAGGUACCACCCCGGACUUCCACGCUAUGUUGAAGAGACGUGUCAGCCACAACAUCCAGAGCCUUGAGGUAUUCGGGGCGGAUCUCGUCCUCUCCAGGGGCCUUGCCACUGGGCAGUUUUUUGAUUACAUCAGCAACUUUGGCUCCAAUGAUGGACUAUGUCUGUGUUUGUGACCUCAGACUCUACCUCCUCUACGGAGGGUGUGUCUGUAGGAUUAAGGAGAUCCUCAAAAUAUUCCUUCCACCGCCCAACUAUA